rnacentral:rRNA from 1 species
CCUACGGGAGGCUGCAGUGGGGAAUAUUGGACAAUGGGGGGAACCCUGAUCCAGCCAUGCCGCGUGUGUGAAGAAGGCCCUCGGGUUGUAAAGCACUUUCAGUGAGGAAGAACGCCUGGUGGUUAAUACCCAUCAGGAAAGACAUCACUCACAGAAGAAGCACCGGCUAACUCCGUGCCAGCAGCCGCGGUAAUACGGAGGGUGCGAGCGUUAAUCGGAAUUACUGGGCGUAAAGCGCGCGUAGGUGGCUUGAUAAGCCGGUUGUGAAAGCCCCGGGCUCAACCUGGGAACGGCAUCCGGAACUGUCAAGCUAGAGUGCAGGAGAGGAAGGUAGAAUUCCCGGUGUAGCGGUGAAAUGCGUAGAGAUCGGGAGGAAUACCAGUGGCGAAGGCGGCCUUCUGGACUAACACUGACACUGAGGUGCGAAAGCGUGGGUAGCAAACAGGAUUAGAUACCCGAGUAGUC